rnacentral:SRP_RNA from 1 species
GCCGGGCGUGGUGGCGGGCGCCUGUAGUCCCAGCUACUCGGAGGCUGAGGCAGGAGAAUGGCGUGAACCCGGGAGGCGGAGCUUGCAGUGAGCCAAGAUGGCGCCACUGCACUCCAGCCUGGGUGACAGAGCGAGACUCUGUCUCAA